rnacentral:rRNA from 2 species
GACCUCGGAUCAGGUAGGAAUACCCGCUGA